CGCUCCCUGGGGUAUUAGCCAGCUAGUAAUGUCCCUGUGCCGAUGCUUACAACCUUAGGGUGAAGGUUUUACUGACAUUGAGCAUGCUCGGCUUGUACCGAGAAGCCUUAGGAAGUAUGGCUUUACCCGCCUUGAACCUACGGUUCAAGGGCUUACACCGGCAGCGGUAUCUUGGGGAGCUA
rnacentral:other from 1 species